rnacentral:rRNA from 1 species
UACGUAGGGGGCAAGCGUUGUCCGGAUUUAUUGGGCGUAAAGAGCGUGUAGGCGGCCAUACAGGUCAGCUGUGAAAACUCGAGGCUCAACCUCGAGACGUCGGUUGAAACCGUAUGGCUAGAGUCCGGAAGAGGAGAGUGGAAUUCCCAGUGUAGCGGUGAAAUGCGCAGAUAUCGGGAAGAACACCCGUGGCGAAGGCGGCUCUCUGGAACGCAACUGACGCUGAGACGCGAAAGCGUGGGGAGCAAACAGG